CGGGGCAGUAGUGAAUGAUGCAUAAGCAACUCUAAUGAGAAAACCACGUCUGAUGAGAAGGUAGUCAGGAGGGAGCCGUGGACGAUCCGGGCAGGCUGGCCGCUGGGAGGGAAUCCCAGAGGUGCAGCCUCUGCUCCUGCUGGAGAAGGGUCUGCCUAGGAAGGAUGCUGGCCCACAGGAAAGAAGAAGCGAGCCUGGAAUGAGGUACCCCCUCGGCCGUCUCUCCGCUAGGCCCCAGUGACACCGUCUCUUCAUCACCGCUCUUGUUUCCAGACCCUUCACCCUCCCGGGCCUCUCCUGCGAAUGAGCUGUUUGCUGCCUCCUUCAGCUGGGCGCUGGCUUCUGGCUGCAACGUGCCCCGUGGCCUGCGGUUUCCGUGAGCUGGUUCCAUGCACGAUUAGUGCCGUCCAGGCUGUGCUGGCCUCUCUUCCCAGCAGGGUCCCCAUUGGCUCCCGUGGGCGGCAACUUCCCCCAGGGGCAGGGGCGUCCUUCUGUCGGCUCCGCCCUCCCUGGCUUCUGAUGGUGCAGUGACAGACACUGCUUCGUGCACGCUGUGGCCUCUCAUUUAACUACUUUUGAGUCUCGACUCUAUCAUCAUUCAUUUUCAGCCUCCCUCCCAGGGUUUUGCCAUUCGAAAAUUUGCAAAGCACAUCCCCCGCCCCCAGGGGCGCCUGGGUGGCUCAGGUCCUGAUCUCAGGGUCCUGGGAUCGAGCCCCGCAUCGGGCUCUCUGCUCAGUGGGGAGCCUGCUUCCCCCUCUCUGUCUGCCUGCCUC